CUUUCCCGUCGCCGAUGUCCAACCUGUAUGUACCUCUCUCACUGUCAGUACUGAAUCCCAAUUAAUUAAUUAAUUUUGUGUAUACUAGCUAGCUGCUGAAUUGUAAACUGAUCAAUUUACCAGUAGAAGAAAGGCUGUGUGCUUUUGCUAUUGAACCAAACAUCAUAGUAGAAGUGUAGGUUGUGUCCAUAUCUGUGUCGUGGGUCUAUCUGAAAAUCCACAACAAAAAAAGCAUAAGCAAAAGCAAAGCAGUGAAUAUAGAAUGGUCAUCAAGUAACAGACAGACAAAGAGACAGAGUGAGUGAUGGAGUAGUGGGUACUCACAGCUUCAAGCCAGUGCUGUAAAGCAAGCUUUUGAGCUUUAUCAUCUUUGGCCAAGCCCUUGCCAACCUUGGCAACCCUUUUUGUGGCACGAGACCACUUAGAGGAAGCGGUCUCAUGCUUGUCAUCGUCGAAGAACAAGAUGGAGUCCUUCUUGAGAGCUACAGAAUCCAAAGCCUUCCACCAAAGCUCCUCCACAACAACAGCACAGUCAGCAAGGUUUCUUCGAGUACGAUAACUCUUGUAAACCUUCUGAAGUGUAGUUGCGGCUGCAUCUAACUCGCUCACCGGCCUUGGUGAAAAGAACACCUUUGCUUCCGGUACCACCAAAGCCGCUGGCUUCUUUAUGCUCAAUAUUGCUUCAUGAACUAGUGUUGACUUUUUACAACUACCACCAUUAUCCAACCUAUCUUCACCACUAUUAUCCAACCCCCAAUCCUUGAAACUCAUUGACCGUACCAAACCCUUAUCAGCAACCAUAAUUUCAGAAGUCUCCAUCAUCAAGUCCUCUUUCUUGAAGCUGUUGUUUCUCAUGAAAUCAACAACUCCUCCAUUUAUAUUAUUCCUUCCAUAGCUUUGAGACCUAACCGCAGCCUUCCUGAUGGUGGAUGCGGUCAAUACACCAAGCAAAGUGGGUCUCAGGAUUUGGUUCCAAGCCGAUGAUAGCAGGGAAAGAGACAGUCCCAUUAAUAAAAACACAACCUGUAUGAAGGAUAUAAUACACAACAUGAUUAGCCAUAAUUUAAUAGGAAAAUUAAUAUAAAAACAACAACAACAACAACAACAACAACAACAGAAAAGAACAGAGAGAUUGAACAUUUUGCUCACCUUUGGAAAACAGCAGCAGAUACAGUGUUAAUUUAACAAGGAUAAGCACGUUAUUAUAUGAUAGAGGAAGAAGAAAUAUCUGCAAUUAAUGGAUGGAUAUGGGGCAGAUAGGCAAGUAGAGAGUGAAUUUAUACAAUACAAAGGGAAGACCAAGGGAGGAUGGGGGAAGCAAGUUAGUUAGUUUGACGAGUAAAAAAUGGUGAAAUUUGACUUUUAUUUUUUUAUGGAUCCAAAGUAGACGCAUUGAAUUCAAAGUCUGCAAAUAUUAACACUCUUGUUGAAGUUGGAAAACAGAGGAACAGAAACAAGGCAGAAAAAGGUGAGUGUUGGGAAUGGGGAAGGAAGGUGAGGGCGACGGAGUAAGUAAAACUGUAUGAUGCAAUUCAUAGUUUGGUUUCUUCUUAUCGUUAUUAUUUGUUAUUAUCAUGGUUGAGAAUGCUGGAUCGGACCGGCCGGUCUGACCGGUUUAACCGCUAACCGGCCACAUAUUCGAAACCGAGCUGCUAUUUGAUAGGUUUGGUCAAAAUCGAGCAGUGACCCGGUUUGACCGUGAAAAUUUUCCGGUUGGACCUGUUUUGUUAAUCGUCGGUUGGACCAUAUCAAAAUAUUAAAAGGACGCCAUUUUGUUAAAUUGAGAAAUUUUAAUUUAAAAAAAACCGAAAUAAUUGAAAAAAAUAGCAAAACGAAAACUAACUCUAACUCUAAAUCAAUUCGGCCUUCAUCUUCUCUUCUUCUUCGUACUUUUUGAACUUACAAAAUCGCUGGCAUCGUCGCCUUCUUCAAGUCGCCAGAGGUCGUGACGUCGUCCUCGGAGUUCGUCGCGGUCGCCGCUACGUAGUCCGACUCCUUCUCUGAUCUCUCUACAGCGAGGCAACAGAGGUGUUUGGUUGCUUAAUUACUUACUGUAUCUUUACUUGUUUAGGCAGAGGUGUUUGGUUUUGUUUCGACCUUAGCUUGCUGCUGUUGUUGUAUUUUUUUUUAAUUUUGUUGUUUCAAUUUUGUGUUUUAACUUUCAACCUACGCUUCGGUACAAUAUAAUCAAUGUUGUUGUUGUUGUUAAUUGCCUACCACGACAGGAACUUCAAACCCAUGGAUGUUGCAUCUUCAGAAGCAGAAGCUCAAUCAGAGACACCAUCUCAAGCUAGUGUUCGAGUCAAAACUGAUCCGGCAUGGGAAUAUGCUAUUCUGAACAAUGGAAAAAUUAAUUGUACAUUCUGCCCACACAUCGUUGGAGGUGGGGGAAUUAGCCGAUUCAAGCUUCACUUGGCUUAGAGUAAAAGGGAAUGUAAAGGCAUGUUACCGGCGUACCUAUUCAUAUCCGUGAAGCAAUGUUGAAGCACUUGGAUGAAAGUGCAAGGAAGACCAAGACUAUUACAGUGCUUAAGAGGUCUUUCAGUGAUCUUGCUAGAGAGGAUGGUAGCUUGAUGAACGAAUUUUACUCGUUACCAAAAUAAAUCGGUUAAUGAAUUAAUCGGGUCGAAUUUCUCUAAGUGUCUUUAAGUAUCUUACUCAAAAUUGUAAUUAGUACUAAUCAAAAUAUCACUAAAUGUGGUUUAGGUGCCAAGACAAUCAAUCAAUCACAAAAGAAAAUAAAAAAUUUGCUUUAAUGUAAACAGGGUUGCAUGAC
rnacentral:lncRNA from 1 species